UAAUUGGCCACCUUAACGUAGCGGUCCUCGUUGCAAACUUCGACCCGGUCAAGGGACCAAUCAAAAUGCCUUGUUUCAUCAUAGACACUGACUGACAGGGUUGCCUUUGUGAUGAAAUGAUCAUGAUUGAGUAAAGUAAACACAUCAGUGCGGCAGUGGCUAGACUGAUAAUUAGUGUACUUAUUGAAGAAUGUUGCCUCCAUUUAGGGUGCACGAGGAAGCAAUGGUGUCAAUGGAAAUACUGGAGGAAAUGGACGAGGAGGCUAUCCUGGUGCUCGCGGACCGGCUGGAACAAAAGGCAACAAUGGAUCACCGGGUACACCAGGAAGCAACGGCGGACCAGGAGACCCUGGUGUCGAUGGCGAAGAGGUAAGAAGAUAAUUUAGAUCUGUGUCACGUAGGACGAACCAUUAUUUCUUUUA